UACGUAGGGCGCAAGCGUUGUCCGGAAUUAUUGGGCGUAAAGAGCUCGUAGGCGGUUUGUCACGUCGGCUGUGAAAACCCGAGGCUCAACCUCGGGCCUGCAGUCGAUACGGGCAGACUAGAGUGCUGUAGGGGAGACUGGAAUUCCUGGUGUAGCGGUGAAAUGCGCAGAUAUCAGGAGGAAUACCGGUGGCGAAGGCGGCAUCCUGGACCAUAACUGACGCUGAGGCGCGAAAGCUAGGGGAGCAAACGGG
rnacentral:rRNA from 1 species